rnacentral:rRNA from 1 species
UACGGGGGGAGCAAGCGUUGUUCGGAUUUACUGGGCGUAAAGGGCGCGUAGGCGGUCCGGUAAGUCCGCUCUGAAAGUCCAGGGCUCAACCCUGGAAAGCGGGUGGAUACUGCCGGGCUAGAAUCCGGAAGAGGCGAGUGGAAUUCCUGGUGUAGCGGUGGAAUGCGCAGAUAUCAGGAGGAACACCAAUAGCGAAGGCAGCUCGCUGGGACGGUAUUGACGCUAAGGCGCGAAAGCGUGGGGAGCAAACAGG